CAACAUGUCUGAUGUGUCUUUGGGCAAGACACUUAACCCAGCAUUGCUCCCUCUGCUUCAGUGAUGGUGUGUGAAUGGAUUAGUGUUGUGUAAAAGUGUAGUUGUGUGUGUGUGUGUGUGUGUGUGUGUGUGUGUGAGAGAGAGAGAG